GCACGAUCUCACUGUUAAAUACAGACAUAAAAAUAAUUGCUAAAAUAUACGCAAAUAGAUUAGCUAACAUUCUCCCGGCGAUUAUCCACCAGGACCAGGUGGGGUUUAUCAAGGGGAGGCAAGGUACCGACGGAACGCGCAAGGUAAUCAACCUAAUACAGAGCCUACGGGGGAGGGAGCAUGGUGUAUUUCUCUCACUUGACGCCGAAAAAG